GACGAACGCUGGCGGCGUGCCUAAUACAUGCAAGUAGAACGCUGAAGGAGGAGCUUGCUUCUCUGGAUGAGUUGCGAACGGGUGAGUAACGCGUAGGUAACCUGCCUGGUAGCGGGGGAUAACUAUUGGAAACGAUAGCUAAUACCGCAUAAUAGCAGUUGUUGCAUGAUAACUGUUUGAAAGGUGCAAUUGCACCACUACCAGAUGGACCUGCGUUGUAUUAGCUAGUUGGUGGGGUAACGGCUCACCAAGGCGACGAUACAUAGCCGACCUGAGAGGGUGAUCGGCCACACUGGGACUGAGGCACGGCCCAGACUCCUACGGGAGGCAGCAGUAGGGAAUCUUCGGCAAUGGACGGAAGUCUGACCGAGCAACGCCGCGUGAGUGAAGAAGGUUUUCGGAUCGUAAAGCUCUGUUGUAAGAGAAGAACGAGUGUGAGAGUGGAAAGUUCACACUGUGACGGUAUCUUACCAGAAAGGGACGGCUAACUACGUG
rnacentral:rRNA from 1 species